rnacentral:rRNA from 1 species
UACGUAGGGUGCAAGCGUUGUCCGGAAUUAUUGGGCGUAAAGAGCUCGUAGGCGGCCUGUCGCGUCGGCUGUGAAAACCCGGGGCUCAACCCCGGGCCUGCAGUCGAUACGGGCAGGCUAGAGUCCGGUAGGGGAGACUGGAAUUCCUGGUGUAGCGGUGAAAUGCGCAGAUAUCAGGAAGAACACCCGUGGCGAAGGCGGUUCUCUGGGACGGUACUGACGCUGAGACGCGAAAGCGUGGGGAGCGAACAGG